rnacentral:rRNA from 1 species
GAUGAACGCUGGCGGCGUGCCUAAUACAUGCAAGUCGAGCGAACAGACGAGGAGCUUGCUUUUCUGACGUUAGCGGCGGACGGGUGAGUAACACGUGGAUAACCUACCUAUAAGACUGGGAUAACUUCGGGAAACCGGAGCUAAUACCGGAUAAUAUUUUGAACCGCAUGGUUCAAUAGUGAAAGGCGGUCUUGCUGUCACUUAUAGAUGGAUCCGCGCCGCAUUAGCUAGUUGGUAAGGUAACGGCUUACCAAGGCAACGAUGCGUAGCCGACCUGAGAAGGUGAUCAGCCACACUGGAACUGAGACACGGUCCAGACUCCUACGGGAGGCAGCAGUAGGGAAUCUUCCGCAAUGGGCGAAAGCCUGACGGAGCAACGCCGCGUGAGUGAGGAAGGUCAUCGGAUCGUAAAACGCUGUUAUUAGGGAAGAACAGAUGUGUAAGUAACUAUGCACGUCUUGACGGUACCUAAUCAGAAAGCCACGGCUAACUACGUG